rnacentral:lncRNA from 1 species
GAUAAGUGGAUAUUAGCCCAAAAGUUCAGAAUACCCAAGAUUCAAUUCACAGACCAUAUGAAGCCUUAGAAGAUGGAAGACCAAAAUGUGGAUGCUUCACUGCUUCUUAGAAGGGAGAACAAAAUACUCAAAGGAGGAAAUAUGGAGACAAAGUGUGGAGCCGAGACUGAAGCAAAGGCCACCCAGAGAGUGCCCUACCAGGGGAUCCAUUCAUAUAUAGCCUCCAAACCCGGAUGUUACUGUGGAUGCUGAGAAGUGCUUGUUGAUGGAAGCCUGAUAUGGCUGCCUUCUGAGAUGCUCUUCCAGAGCCUGACAAAUACAGAGGAAGAAGUUUGUAGCCAACCAUUGGACUGAGUUCAGAGGUCCCUGAUGGAGGAGAAGGGACUGAAGGAGCUGAGGUGGUUUGCAGCCACAUAGAGGGAACAACAGUGUCAAUACACCAGACCCCACCUCCCCGGAGAUUCUGGGGACUGGACCACCAACCAAAGAAUACACAUGGAGGGACCCAUGGCUCUUGCCACAUAUGUAGCAGAGGAUGGCCUUGUUGGACAUCAGUGAAAGGAGAAGCCCUUGGGCCUGAGGGCGUUAGAUGCCCCAGUGUAGGGGAAUGCCGGGAGAAUGGGAGUGGGUGGGUGGGGGAGCACCUUCAUAGAGGCAGGGGGAGGGAGGAUGUGAUUGGGGGGUUCUGAAGGGGAGACCUGGAAAGGGGAAAACAUUUGAAAUGUAAAUAAAGAAGAUAUCCAAUUUAAAAAGGCAAAAAAGAAGAAUAUAGAUAUGAGCUCUGCAUGCUGAGCUGUAUUUACAACCUCUUAAGGUAUAAGAAACUAACUCAGUGCACACAUCAUUACAAAAUGACAAAUUGUCUCCAUGAAAAGUACUGUGUAUGCAAGAGGAUAGUUGGUGAGGUAAGGCUAAUUGUAAUCAUCAUUAAAGCAUCAGUUCUGAGGUUGAGGAGCCUGGCUCUCCUGAAAUGUAGGCCUAAGGUAGGACGCAUUUCCCAUAUGUAUAAACAGAGAAUGCUGACAACCUUCCGAGAUAAGGCCAAGCUCAUUUCCUUUGUGAUUAAUAAUUAUUAAAGCCUGGUUGCUGGUUAACCCACUUUUUAAAUAUUUUACAGUAUUCUUUACAUAAGUAAAGAAUAUGUGUCAACAAUAUCUUUUACUCCUAGAUUGUACUUUUUCCUGUUAAAUCUUAACCUUAUCUUUUAAUGUGGUAUAUUUUACCUUAUGCAAUUAACAGUGGUCUAGAAACAAUGAAAGCCUUGAAAAUUGUUACUUUCUACAGCAAUACUAAAUUUCUAGAUUGAAGAACAAAUCAGAUGGUCUUAAAACAUGUUACCUUAGUAUCCUAGGAAAUCACUAAACCAGAACAGAGGUAGUGGUUUGUUUUCAUGAUAUUGUAAAUUAGCCUUUUCAAUUAAAAACAAUAAAUAGAGGAAAUUUUAAUAUUAGGCUAUAAAAAAGUAGGUUAUGAUAUAAAGAAAUGAAAAUUAUCUGUCAUAAUUGAGAUAGAAGAUAUCACCAUGGGAAAACACUACAGCAGCCAAGAACCUUUAGGUUCUUUUUCUUGUCUUCUUAUUUCGGAGAUGAGCAAAAUUCAGGCCUAGGAUUCAUAUCUAAGUUACACAGUUAACUAUACAGCCAUCUAAUUAAAUACUUAAUAGCCCAAGUGGGAAAGCUGGACCUGUGAGCCCUAAUUCACAUUACCACAUGCAAACCCCCUGAUGGAUGAUCACAGUCCCCACCAUAACCCUGUCACCUUUAUGCAGAAGCCUCUGUUAAUAGAAAUAUGAACAACAUAGGUGACUCUCAGUUUGUUUACUUAAUGUACCAGAUACCUUUUAAAAGUUGUCAUUGCUACUCACAUUGUAGCUAUUC